rnacentral:lncRNA from 1 species
CAGCGAUGGCAUCCGCGUAUAUGCUUUCCAUCAUACUACUGCAGCUUGUGUUGAAUUUUGCUCAAGCAACAUAUACAGCCAGUGAUGUAGAAGCCAGACGGGAUUUAGAAGGAUGCGACAGACGGACUGAUGUGUGCUUUUACCCUGGCGCCUGCCGAUGCCCUUGGAGGCUAAACCACGGAAGGAAUCUUCAAUACAGGUACCACUACGACCGAAUAGCGGGACUAUGCAUACGAAAUGGAGAAGAACAUAACUGUAACUCAUUUCAAACAAUGGUUGAGUGCCUGAUGAUAUGCCAAAGGUUCCGAAACCGAAUACCAAGCUAGCACAAACGUGAAAGAAGACUGCCUCCAUGCCAGCUUUCGGAGACGAAGCGGCUCUUCUGAAGCAGCAUUAAAAACUUUGAG